AGCAGCCGCGGUAAUUCCAGCUCCAAUAGCGUAUAUUAAAGUUGUUGCAGUUAAAAAGCUCGUAGUUGAAUUUCGGGAUCAAUAUGUCGGUCGUGCCAUUGGUACGUACUGGUAUCAUUGAUUUCUCCUUUCUGACGAACCAUGAUGUCAUUAAUUUGGUGUUAUGGGGGAGUUAGGACUGUUACUUUGAAAAAAUUAGAGUGUUUAAAGCAGGCAUUAGCUUGAAUACAUUAGCAUGGAAUAAUGAAAUAGGACGUUUGACCCUAUUUUGUUGGUUUCUAGGAUCGACGUAAUGAUUAAUAGGGAUAGUUGGGGGCAUUAGUAUUCAAUUGUCAGAGGUGAAAUUCUUGGAUUUAUUGAAGACUAACUACUGCGAAAGCAUUUGUCCAAGGAUGUUUUCAUUAAUCAAGAACGAAAGUUAGGGGAUCGAAGACGAUCAGAUACCGUCGU
rnacentral:rRNA from 1 species